AAGCAUAUCAAUAAGCGGAGGAAAAGAAACCAACAGGGAUUACCCUAGUAACGGCGAGUGAAGCGGUAACAGCUCAAAUUUGAAAUCUGGCCUCUGAGGUCCGAGUUGUAAUUUGUAGAAGGUGCUUCGGAUGUAACANUGGUACAAGUCCUUUGGAAUUGGGCGUCAUAGAGGGUGAUAACCCCGUUUGUGACCGCUUUGUUCAUCCAUGUGAAGCCCUUUCGACGAGUCGAGUUGUNUGGGAAUGCAGCUCAAAAUGGGUGGUAGACUUCAUCUAAAGCUAAAUAUCAGCCAGAGACCGAUAGCGCACAAGUAGAGUGAUCGAAAGAUGAAAAGCACUUUGAAAAGAGAGUCAAACNGCACGUGAAAUUGUUGAAAGGGAAGCGCUAGCCACCAGACUUGCUUGUAUUGUCAUCUCCUGAAAAGGUGGUGUAUUCUUUACUUG
rnacentral:rRNA from 1 species